rnacentral:rRNA from 1 species
GACGAACGCUGGCGGCGUGCUUAACACAUGCAAGUCGAACGGAAAGGCCCUGCUUUUGUGGGGUGCUCGAGUGGCGAACGGGUGAGUAACACGUGAGUAACCUGCCCUUGACUUUGGGAUAACUUCAGGAAACUGGGGCUAAUACCGGAUAGGAGCUCCUGCUGCAUGGUGGGUGUUGGAAAGUUUCGGCGGUUGGGGAUGGACUCGCGGCUUAUCAGCUUGUUGGUGGGGUAGUGGCUUACCAAGGCUUUGACGGGUAGCCGGCCUGAGAGGGUGACCGGCCACAUUGGGACUGAGAUACGGCCCAGACUCCUACGGGAGGCAGCAGUGGGGAAUAUUGCACAAUGGGCGGAAGCCUGAUGCAGCAACGCCGCGUGAGGGAUGACGGCCUUCGGGUUGUAAACCGCUUUCGCCAGUGAAGAAGCGUGAGUGACGGUAAUGGGUAAAGAAGCACCGGCUAACUACGUG